CGUUAAUUGGAAUUACUGGGCGUAAAGCGCAUGCAGGUGGUUUGUUAAGUCAGAUGUGAAAGCCCUGGGCUCAACCUAGGAAUCGCAUUUGAAACUGACAAGCUAGAGUACUGUAGAGGGGGGUAGAAUUUCAGGUGUAGCGGUGAAAUGCGUAGAGAUUUGAAGGAAUACCGGUGGCGAAGGCGGCCCCCUGGACAGAUACUGACACUCAGAUGCGAAAGCGUGGGGAGCAAACAGGAUUAGAUACCCUGGUAGUCCACGCUGUAAACGAUGUCUACUUGGAGGUUGUGCCCUAGAGGCGUGGCUUUCGGAGCUAACGCGUUAAGUAGACCGCCUGGGGAGUACGGUCGCAAGAUUAAAACUCAAAUGAAUUGACGGGGGCCCGCACAAGCGGUGGAGCAUGUGGUUUAAUUCGAUGCAACGCGAAGAACCUUACCUACUCUUGACAUCCAGAGAAUCUAGCGGAGACGCUGGAGUGCCUUCGGGAGCUCUGAGACAGGUGCUGCAU
rnacentral:rRNA from 1 species